rnacentral:rRNA from 1 species
UGGGGAAUAUUGCACAAUGGGCGCAAGCCUGAUGCAGCCAUGCCGCGUGUGUGAAGAAGGCCUUCGGGUUGUAAAGCACUUUCAGCGGGGAGGAAGGGAGUAAAGUUAAUACCUUUGCUCAUUGACGUUACCCGCAGAAGAAGCACCGGCUAACUCCGUGCCAGCAGCCGCGGUAAUACGGAGGGUGCAAGCGUUAAUCGGAAUUACUGGGCGUAAAGCGCACGCAGGCGGUCUGUCAAGUCGGAUGUGAAAUCCCCGGGCUCAACCUGGGAACUGCAUUCGAAACUGGCAGGCUAGAGUCUUGUAGAGGGGGGUAGAAUUCCAGGUGUAGCGGUGAAAUGCGUAGAGAUCUGGAGGAAUACCGGUGGCGAAGGCGGCCCCCUGGACGAAGACUGACGCUCAGGUGCGAAAGCGUGGGGAGCAAACAGG